GCUUUCGUAGCUCAGUUGGUUAGAGCUUCGUACUAAUACUUGCCUCUACGGCCAAAUAUUGGUGAUGCGAAGGUCGCAAGUUCAAGCCUUGUCGGAAGCA